rnacentral:rRNA from 1 species
UGUUGUUAGGGAAGAACAAGUGCCGUUCAAAUAGGGCGGCACCUUGACGGUACCUAACCAGAAAGCCACGGCUAACUACGUGCCAGCAGCCGCGGUAAUACGUAGGUGGCAAGCGUUGUCCGGAAUUAUUGGGCGUAAAGGGCUCGCAGGCGGUUUCUUAAGUCUGAUGUGAAAGCCCCCGGCUCAACCGGGGAGGGUCAUUGGAAACUGGGGAACUUGAGUGCAGAAGAGGAGAGUGGAAUUCCACGUGUAGCGGUGAAAUGCGUAGAGAUGUGGAGGAACACCAGUGGCGAAGGCGACUCUCUGGUCUGUAACUGACGCUGAGGAGCGAAAGCGUGGGGAGCGAACAGGAUUAGAUACCCUGGUAGUCCACGCCGUAAACGAUGAGUGCUAAGUGUUAGGGGGUUUCCGCCCCUUAGUGCUGCAGCUAACGCAUUAAGCACUCCGCCUGGGGAGUACGGUCGCAAGACUGAAACUCAAAGGAAUUGACGGGGGCCCGCACAAGCGGUGGAGCAUGUGGUUUAAUUCGAAGCAACGCGAAGAACCUUACCAGGUCUUGACAUCCUCUGACAAUCCUAGAGAUAGGACGUCCCCUUCGGGGGCAGAGUGACAGGUGGUGCAUGGUUGUCG